rnacentral:rRNA from 1 species
GAUGAACGCUAGCGGCAGGCUUAAUACAUGCAAGUCGAGGGGCAGCAUGGUGUAGCAAUACACUGAUGGCGACCGGCAAACGGGUGCGGAACACGUACAGAACCUUCCUUCGAGCGGGGAAUAGCCCAGAGAAAUUUGGAUUAAUACCCCCUAGUAUAUUGAGAAGGCAUCUUUUUAAUAUUAAAGAUUUAUCACUUGAAGAUGGCUGUGCGGCUGAUUAGGUAGUUGGCGGGGUAACGGCCCACCAAGCCUGCGAGCAGUAACUGGUGUGAGAGGACGACCAGUCAAGCGGGCACUGGAGCACGGGCCCGAGUCCGAGGGGAGGCAGCAGUAAGGAAGAUUGGUCCACGGACGAAAGUCUGAACCAGCCAUGCCGCGUGGAGGGUGAAGGUCCUCUGGAUUGUAAACUUCUUUUAUAUGGGACGAAAAAAGGCUUUUCUAAGUCGUCUGACGGUACCAUAUGAAUAAGCACCGGCUAACUCCGUGCCAGCCGCCGCUGUAAGAC